ensembl:lncRNA
CCCUGCCCCCCUCUCACACACACGGCUCAGAGGCCCCUCUGCAGAACGCCCCCCUCACGACGCCCCCCUCACGGCUCAGGAUAACGAGCCGUGAGGUUUGGAGCGUCUCAUCGAACACGCCGAUUCUCCCAGCCAGCCGUGCCAGGGUUCAUUCUCCCGAGCGUAAGUAAGUAAGUAAGUAAGUAAGUAAGUAAGUAAGUAAGGACGCUGUGGUGUGGCAACAGCAGCUACCUCUGCUAACAGAUGGCAAGGAACAAUGAGCAGAACAUAUUAGCACUGCUAAUGCCAAAUGCCACAAGGUUAAAGAGAGGGUGACUCUUGUUAUUACGGAAAGAGGAAGUCAUUUUCUCCUUCCAAAUGUCUUGUGAGGAACAGCAGAUGACAUACGUAUAUAUGUAUAUAUAGAGAGAGAGGGAAUAUUUUCAUUCAUCACAGAAAUGAAAAAACAUCUGUGUGUGGAUGGUGGGUAAGUGACAUUAAUCUUCUAAUUUUCCAAACGAUGAUAUGACCCUGUUAGUACAAGGCUGACAGGCAUGCAGUCUAACCAAGAGACUGUAAAGGUUUAUAAAGCACACUAGACCACAGUAUACAGACCAUACACACACACUAGACCAUAGUAUACACACCAUACACACACACUAGACCAUAGUAUACAGACCAUACACACACACUAGACCAUAGUAUACACACCAUACACACACACUAGACCAUAGUAUACACACCAUACACACACACUAGACCAUAGUAUACACACCAUACAGACACCAACUGUAACAGAUUACACUGAUGUCAGUCAUCGUCCACACCUGCCCAGACUGUCUGAUGCUCUGAGGUCUGGGUACUGGGUUCUGAGGUCUGGGUUCUGAGGUACUGGGUUCUGAAGUCUGGGUACUGAGGUCUGGAUACUGAGGUCUGGGUUCUGAGGUCUGGGUACUGAGGUCUGGGUUCUGAGGUCUGGGUACUGGGUUCUGAGGUCUGGGUACUGAGGUCUGGGUACUGGGGUCUGGGUUCUGAGGUCUGGGUACUGAGGUCUAGGUACUGGGUUCUGAGGUCUGGGUACUGAGGUCUGGGUACUGGGUUGUGAGGUCUGGGUUCUGAGGUCUGGGUACUGAGGUCUAGGUACUGGGUUCUGAGGUCUGGGUACUGAGGUCUGGGUACUGGGUUGUGAGGUCUGGGUACUGAGGUCUGGGUACUGGGUUCUGAGGUUUGGGUACUGAGGUCUGGGUACUGGGUUCUGAGGUCUGGGUACUGAGGUCUAGGUACUGGGUUCUGAGGUCUGGGUACUGAGGUCUGGGUACUGGGUUCUGAGGUCUGGGUUCUGAGGUCUGGGUACUGAGGUCUGGGGUCUGGAUACUGAGGUCUGGGUACUGAGGUCUGAGGUCGGGGUACUGAGGUCUGGGUACUGAGGUCUGGGUUCUGAGGUCUGGAUACUGAGGUCUGGGUACUGAGGUCUGGGUACUGAGGUCUGUGGUCUGAGGACUGUCUAAGGGGGUGGGUGUUUGUUUCUGUGUGUGUGUGAAGCGGCAUACCUUAAAGGACAGUGAAAGUGUGGUGGAGGAGAGAGUGUGUGUGUGGUGUGACUAGCUUGCUGCCAAUUCCAUGUCUGUCUUGUCUCCUGCUAACCCUCAGGUCUCUGUGUUAGCAUGCACACACACACACACACACACACCCUCAGGUCUCUGUGUUAGCAUGCCAUAGCAGUGCCACUGAAUCCAUUUGACUGGUUGAGAAAUUUGAAUUUAAAUAGGAGGCAUUUGCAUUGACAAAGUACAGACUCUUGCCUCAGGAAAAACAAUGUGUUGUAUAUUAAUGUAAUUUCAUAGCAUUUUUUCAGUUUUGCCAUUCAGAAUGAAGGAAUGCAAGGUAGACUACAUAACAUAAAAUGCAGCUCAUAUCAUACGGAACAGUGUAUUACAAAUCCAUGCGAUUGAGGUAGAAGGCUAGAAGGCCAGAUUUGUUUCUGCUUUGAAAUGCAACACAAACACCCAGGUGACGAGAAACUCAGAAGGUCAUCCAGGCCAGCAUCCACAGCAUUGCUUCAAUAUUUAAUCAAGUGGUCUUCCACUGGUGUUGCCUUACCGGAAAACACCAGAAGCCACCUCAAAGACCCCCCC